rnacentral:rRNA from 1 species
UACCCAUGAGCAGGAUGAAGCGAAAGUAAAAUUUCGUGGAGGUCCGAACCCACGAGCGUUGAAAAGCUCGGGGAUGACUUGUGGGUAGCGGUGAAAUUCCAAUCGAGCCCGGAGAUAGCUGGUUCUCCCCGAAAUAGCUUUAGGGCUAGCCUCAAGGUGAGAGAUACGGAGGUAGAGCACUGAAUGUCCUAGGGGGUAUUGCACCUACCGAAGACUAUCAAACUCCGAAUGCCGUCAUCUUAUACUUGGGAGUCAGACUGUGGGUGAUAAGAUUCAUAGUCGAAAGGGCAACAGCCCAGAUCGUCAGCUAAGGUCCCUAAAUGUAAGUUAAGUGGUAAAGGAUGUGGGAUUGCACAGACAACCAGGAUGUUGGCUUAGAAGCAGCCACUCAUUCAAAGAGUGCGUAAUAGCUCACUGGUCGAGUGAUCCUGCGCCGAAGAUUUCCGGGGCUAAAACUUACUACCGAAGCUACGGCAUCAGUAAUGAUGGGUAGGGGAGCUUCCCAUACGGGUUGAAGCAUGACCGUAAGGACAUGUGGACAGUAUGGGAGUGAGAAUGUUGGCAUGAGUAGCGAGAUGUGGGUGAGAAUCCCACAGGCCGUAAACCCAAGGUUUCCAGGGGAAGGUUCGUCCGCCCUGGGUUAGUCGGGACCUAAGCUGAGGCCGAAAGGCGUAGGUGAUGGACAACAGGUUGAUAUUCCUGUACUACCGAUAACCGUUUGAGAGAAGGGAUGACACAGUAGGAUAAGCUAAGCACACUGUUGGUUAUGUGUGCCCAAGCAUUGAGGCAGUCAAAGUAGGCAAAUCCGCUUUGAUAAUGCUGGGAUGUGAUGGGGAGCGAAAUUUAGUAGCGAAGUAGCUGAUUUCACACUGUCAAGAAAAGUCUCUAUCGAGGUUAAAGGUACCCGUACCGCAAACCGACACAGGUGGGUGAGGAGAGUAUCCUAAGGCCAGCGAGAGAACUGUUGUUAAGGAACUCGGCAAAAUGACCCCGUAACUUAGGGAUAAGGGGUGCCACCAUCAGGUGGCCGCAGAGAAUAGGCCCAAGCGACUGUUUACCAAAAACAUAGGUUUCUGCUAAGUCGCAAGACGAUGUAUAGGAGCUGACGCCUGCCCGGUGCUGGAAGGUUAAGGGGAUCUGUUAGAGCAAUCGAAGCAGUGAACUUAAGCCCCAGUAAACGGCGGCCGUAACUAUAACGGUCCUAAGGUAGCGAAAUUCCUUGUCGGGUAAGUUCCGACCCGCACGAAAGGCGUAACGAUUUGGGCACUGUCUCAACAACAGACUCGGUGAAAUUGUAAUUCCGGUGAAGAUGCCGGAUACCUGCGACAGGACGGAAAGACCCCAUGGAGCUU